rnacentral:piRNA from 1 species
UUCAGUCCUCUGUGACCUCUGGCA